CACCGCUGCGCCGGUAGUUCAGACUGCGGGGGUUGUUGGUAUAUAUGUGAGCCCAUGUAUAGAGGCCCAUCUAGAAGCCCAUGUAUAAGAAAUAUAUAUCCCACCCUUCUAGAAUUUGGUGGAAUAGAGACAAUUAUUCUCUUCAUCAAGCAAUACCAUGUAAAUGUAUGUGUGUUAUUUUCGAUCUUCUGUUGUUGCAUGAAGACCAAAGUGGCUGCAUGGUCUUUUCCUUGAAACAACAAGGACCUCCCGAAGACAUCCUGCUAUAUAGAGCACCGACAACUGAAUAUUGAAAAGCAUUCUUUGUACUCUGAUGGUUACAGAAUGAAGUAGCAAUUCUUUCAGCAAAAGAGAAGCAUUGCAUAUUUGCAAGUGAAGCGCUAAGGAUGGAAUGUUGAAAUUUGGAUGCACCACACUGUCAUACAGGGUUGGUAACAAGUAUCUUAAAGCAUUGCAGUGGCGUCUGCCCUUCGCUGGCAAGUGCACUCUAGGUGGUGAUGACCAUUCUACCAUUUCCUGAUCUGAUCUGUUUUUGGAAAAGAUGAGACCCGUACACGAUCCACGUGAAUGCAUCUUCCAAAGCUAAAGCUUCCAACCACGAUGGUUUCAUCUCUCACUCAUCGAUUGGGACUUGUCUGGCUUUCGCAUCUCCACACCAGCGCUGCAGCGCUUGCUGCCUGCUGGCCAUGGAUUCUUCUCCUCGUCAGUGUCUUGGCAUCAGCACGUGGAUAUGGCAUCGUGUCCUUUGAGAUGAUUGGCAGAUUGGGUCACUUCAAGCUUUGUAUCUACCCACUGACUCACGGAUAUACUUCAAAACUGGUCAUCCGAGGAUCUUAUGCUAAAGGGAGAGAAGUGUAAGUAACGAAGGAUGAGAAAAUAUAAUAUCAUUGACCUUGAACCACAAUGGUCAUGGUGAGCUUACAUUAUCUACAGUGGUAAGCAAGGAAUAUCUGUUGAAUUCUUUUGAGGAAUUCACACUUGAUGUCUCAACAUUACUGAUACUCACCGUGCUCUCAUGAAACUGAUACUCACAUCUGAUGUCUCAACAUUACUACCUGCAGUCAAAGAAAAGGUUGGUUAGGGUGUUACCCUGCCUCGAAAAUACAAAGCAUCAGUAUUGCUGUGGAUGUUUGUGCAAAAUAUGAUUGAACUUGCCAUGGAUUUUAUUUUCCCAGUAGAUGUGGUGUACACGACAAAUUAUGGCAAGUGCAGCAAUGUAUUUAUUUUGUUCACUAUUAAAUUUAGCAGGCCUUAAUUGCAAUAUUUUUCUGGAAGUAAGAUAAACAUAGAUAUUAAAGUUACACGGGAUCCUGACUAGAUUGUUAGUAUUGGAGCUUUUUUUUAAAAAAACUAGUAUUUGAACAUUUAGAUCUCACACUUUUACAUAGUUUUACAUCGUCAGGAAGGGAUCACUCAUCAGGUUCACUGUGAAUCUCUUCCAGUUGCAUUACUCUGAACCAGAAUAUGAGCUAAAUUUGACGGAUUGGUUAUUUUGUGGGACCCUGAGCAACCAAAGUCACAACAAAUGUAAAAUGAAAUAAUAGUGUUGUAGGACAAGCCGGAAAACUAUGAUAACACCUUCAUAUAGCACCUAUACAAUAAACUAUGUGCCAAAGGAAAUUGCAGAGAUGAGAUGGCAGAUCCUGUAUCCAUCUUCAUGCAUUUCAGUUACAGAUAAGUAUAACGUGCUUUUCUUUUGAAGUGAUCCAAAAACAAUGUCAGGGCAGGGCAGAUCUUGAAUGAAUCCGACGAAUGGAAGUUCUAUCUGUACAGCUUCUUUUGCAAUAAAAGCACAAAAUGUUUUAGGUUUCCGUGUACCAUCGCUGCUCUUGAGAUUUCUCUAUGCAAUUUUUUUCACGGUUGCUCUUGGGACUUUUUCUUUUAAAAGCUUGGCUGCUCAAAUGUUUCCCUGAAAUCUUCUUCUUGUAGAGCCUCACCUUUUUACGGCCUUGAACGUUUGGGCUGACAUGAAGCACGCUGCAUCCAU